rnacentral:misc_RNA from 1 species
GAAGAAAGAAGCAAAUCCUGCACAAUCUCGAAUUGCUUCCCAGAUGACAAGGCUGGACAUGUUGCCAGUAACCAGCCCAGGUAGCCAACUCGUUGGCUGUGGAGUAAAAUGCGAAUCUCCUUAUGAUGUGGCCUCCAGACAGGCUAGCAAAGCUCCUGAAGACGCUAAUCAAUGCAGAACAGCCCAGGGUACUCUAGUUUCUGACCCAGUUGGAUUACUAAAGGCAGAGGCAUCAAAUGCAUGUAACGCCAUGGGUUUGCCAUUUUAUGCAAAACCAUGCUCCCCUAAACAAGUUACUUCAGUACCAGAAGCUGAACACGUAACGAUAGAUGAGGAAGAAUACGAGAGUGACAAUGAUAUUCCAUCCUAUUCUGAGAUAGAAGCCAUGAUACUUGAUAUGGACUUGUG